AUUGAACGCUGGCGGCAGGCCUAACACAUGCAAGUCGAACGGUAGCACAGAGAGCUUGCUCUUGGGUGACGAGUGGCGGACGGGUGAGUAAUGUCUGGGGAUCUGCCCGAUAGAGGGGGAUAACCACUGGAAACGGUGGCUAAUACCGCAUAACGUCGCAAGACCAAAGAGGGGGACCUUCGGGCCUCUCACUAUCGGAUGAACCCAGAUGGGAUUAGCUAGUAGGCGGGGUAAUGGCCCACCUAGGCGACGAUCCCUAGCUGGUCUGAGAGGAUGACCAGCCAGACUGGAACUGAGACACGGUCCAGACUCCUACGGGAGGCAGCAGUGGGGAAUAUUGCACAAUUGGCGCAAGCCUGAUGCAGCCAUGCCGCGUGUAUGAAGAAGGCCUUCGGGUUGUAAAGUACUUUCAGCGGGGAGGAAGGCGGUGAGGUUAAUAACCUUGCCGAUUGACGUUACCCGCAGAAGAAGCACCGGCUAACUCCGUGCCAGCCGCCGCAGUAA
rnacentral:rRNA from 1 species